GGCGACGUACCCAAGUGGCUAAGGGACAGCUCUGCAAAAGCUUCAUGCGUCAGUUCGAAUCUGACCGUCGCCUCUA
rnacentral:tRNA from 1 species